GGGAAUGUGGCUCAGUGGUAGAGUGUUUGCCUAGCAUGCGUGAAGCCCUGGGUUCGAUUCCUCAGACAUAACCA
rfam:Dipodomys ordii contig_44647, whole genome shotgun sequence.